ensembl:lncRNA
GGAGUCCUUUGGCUGUAGGUCUUUGUGCCCAUGGAGGGGUCCUGCUGCUGCUGCUGGGGGGGGGGGGGGGGCUGCUGUGAGUCUUGAUGCUUUGGAGAGGGUGGGAGGUAAUUUCCAUGGGGCUUUGCCCCACAGAGGGGGAUGCAGUGGUCAUAUGAAGUGUCAGUUGUGGUGCUUUUGUCCUUUUGGGGGCCGAUGGGGUGUCAUGUUCAGGUUGGAUAUUAGGGAGUAUCUGUUCUCUCAAAGAGUGGGCAGUCAUUGGCACAAGGAGGUAGUAGGGUCACCAUCCGUGGAGGUAUUCAAGGUAGGUAGAGAUGUCCAUGCUGCUCUGCUCUCCUCCUGGAGCAGUCUGUGUGUUCAAUCAUGGCUGGGGCUUGCUCAUGCCCUCCUUUUCCACCCUCACUUUCCACCACUAUAAGCAGUGUGCGAGCCUUGCUGGUACAGAGUUUCCAUUCCCAGCUGGACCAAGAGGCAGAAGCCAGCAGAGCCUGUGCUCCAGGGGCAGGACUGCGGUCUCGCUGGCAGGAGUAGCCUUGCUUGAAAGAUUGUGGUUUUAUUGAGUCAAUAAGGACUUUGAUAAAAGCAGGCACGUUCACAAUUAGCACUCAAAGCGCAUCAUGUCUGCUGUAUGAUGCCUCUGUCUGCUUGGCAGGGCUCUGCUUGUCUUUGUUUGCUCUGGGAGUUUGUUUUACUAUGCUAUUUUAGCCUUGAUGAAGCAGCACAACAACCCUGUGAUACUGAGUGGUGCAUUCCAGCCUUGCUGUGGGCAUUGCACCUUGUCCUCCUGUGCCCUUUCCUUACCUGGUGACCCUGGGUCUGUCACUGCUGGUUUUCCUUUUGGGUACAGCCAGAAAACUUCUGCAACAGUGUAAAAUGCUCCUAAGGAGAGUGCAGAGUGGGGGGUGUGUGAAUGGAUGUCAAUACAAAAUGUCAGGAGAGCAGCUUAGCUUUUGCUGCGUGGCUUUCUUUGCAUCCUGUGUUAAACCUCAGCCAUGUAACUUGAGUACGUACCCACAGCUGGAAAGAGGUGGGACCAGCCAAAAAGGGGAUACACAGCCAGAAGCAUACCUGUGCUACAGGAGUCCCUCUGUUCCUGUUGCUGCUUUGGCCAGCAUGUUAUAGAUUUGGAGAAAAGCCUGGAGGAGGCAACAAGGGAAGGAGCUGCUCUCCCAGCAGUGGUGGUUGGUUUUCCUUGAGCAGAAGCACUUUCUGCAAGGUUGCUUCCUCCAGCUCUUGCUCCUCCCGUGGCUGCCAGGAGUGCAGAUGCAGGAGGUUGUACUGUUUGGGUACGCACCUUUGGAUAUAACUUAAGCCAUGGGACAGAAAGGUUUCUCUGCUGUACCAAAUUCACCCCCUUGCCUGACAGUGCUGAGGCUUCCCCAGGAGAUGCUGCUCACAGUGGUCAGAAAGCCAAACAGAUCCUAAGUGAGUCUGCCCCAACAUUACCUCCUGCUCAUCAGGUUGGUGCAGAGGACUGAUAGCUCUGGCAGAUCGGAGGGCUUGUUAUCAGAAAUAAAGCUUGUUUUAAGGCUGCAGAGCAAUGCAUGCCUUGACCUUCCUGUCUGAAUGCUGAAUGCCUUUGGCCAAAACCAGGUGCUCUGUUACUGUUCAGCGCUGAAUGCCCUCAGCCAGGCUCUGCUGUUCGGGGCUGCAAACCUUGCAGUUGGAUGCCAGAAGUCACAAUCUGCUUCUUCAAAGCCAGCCUGCAAAUCACUUUCUGGCGAGCUUCUAUAAAACAAGCAACCCAAACAACUCGCCCUUGUGCAGGCUUUGUGGUGUGUGGUGCCUGGAGCUGGAUGCAGAAGAGAGGGGAAGGAUGCUUCGUGUGUUGCAUGCUGCGCUGGUAUUGCUGCUUCUUGUGCAUCUCGAUGAGCUGCAUGCAGUCUUUGCAGCUCCUGGGACUCAUUUCUGGGGGCUGCCACAGUGCCAGGAGCAGCUGCAGAAAGGGAAACUGAAUGAGGGCAGAGCGCUGCGGCUUGGUGGUGGUGCCAGCUUCCAUGGCUGCUCGCAGUGUUUUGGGUUCCAUUCCACCAAUCCUUGGUGUCCCAAGGUUCCUGCAGGCUUUCCUGGCCCAGUGUUAUCUUUGCUGGGGGUGAUUUAUGCCCCAGGGGCGGGGGGAGAUAGG